rnacentral:rRNA from 1 species
GACGUAGGGUGCGAGCGUUGCCCGGAUUUAUUGGGCGUAAAGGCGCGUAGAGCGGCUUGUCGCGUCGACUGUGAAAUCCCGCGGCUCAACCGCGGGUCUGCAGUCGAUACGGGCAGGCUAGAGUUCGGUAGGGGAGACUGGAAUUCCUGGUGUAGCGGUGAAAUGCGCAGAUAUCAGGAGGAACACCGAUGGCGAAGGCAGGUCUCUGGGCCGAUACUGACGCUGAGGAGCGAAAGCGUGGGGAGCGAACAGG